GACGAACGCUGGCGGCGUGCCUAAUACAUGCAAGUCGAGCGAAGUUUUUCUGGUGCUUGCACCGGAAAAACUUAGCGGCGAACGGGUGAGUAACACGUAAAGAACCUGCCUCAUAGACUGGGACAACUAUUGGAAACGAUAGCUAAUACCGGAUAACAGCAUUAACUGCAUGGUUGAUGUUUAAAAGUUGGUUUUGCUAACACUAUGAGAUGGCUUUGCGGUGCAUUAGCUAGUUGGUGGGGUAAAGGCCUACCAAGGCGACGAUGCAUAGCCGACCUGAGGGGGUGAUCGGCCACACUGAGACUGGGACACGGCCCAGACUCCUACGGGAGGCAGCAGUAGGGAAUCUUCCGCAAUGGGCGAAAGCCUGACGGAGCAACGCCGCGUGGGUGAAGAAGGAUUUCGGUUCGUAAAGCUCUGUUGUUAGGGAAGAAUGAUUGUGUAGUAACUAUACACAGUAGGGACGGUACCUAACAAGAAAGCAACGGCUAACUACGU
rnacentral:rRNA from 1 species